rnacentral:rRNA from 1 species
UACGGAGGGAGCUAGCGUUGUUCGGAAUUACUGGGCGUAAAAGCGCACGUAGGCGGCUUUUGUAAGUUAGAGGUGAAAAGCCCCGGAGCUCAACUCCGGAAUUGCCUUUUAAGACUGCAUCGCUUGAAUCCAGGAGAGGUGAGUGGAAUUCCGAGUGUAGAGGUGAAAUUCGUAGAUAUUCGGAAGAACACCAGUGGCGAAGGCGGCUCACUGGACUGGUAUUGACGCUG